AUGACACAAUUUUAAUUUAUUUUUUUAAAAUAUUAAAACCACGUAAUUUUAACAUGUUUAAUCCUUAACCCCAUUCUUGGACCAGAUCAUAGUCCUGGGACCCUAUCAUUCACCUCCUUCAUGAGCCUAUCAUUCACUCAACCAUGAGUCAGUGGCACCAUUUUUGCAAACCAUCAUGCAAAACACAGAAGUUAAAGUAUUUAUAUCCAAAAAUAGAUAUUAUUCACCUUCUUACUAUUAGCAAUUAUACAGCAGCUUCAGCAGACUCCAGCCGCAGCUCCACAGCAACAAGCAAAACCUAUGCAGCAGCAGCAGGAGACAUCACAGCUUCUUCAUCCCCGUCAGCAAUCUUCAUCAACACCUAUUACGCCAACAUCUAAGAUUGUAAGGAAAACACCCCAACGGCUACUCCAGAGAGUCCAACAGCUACUUCACUUCAAGAUGGUAACUCACUAUACAUGGAAACUAUAGCUGGAUGCAGAUCAAGACAAAUCAGCCUCCAUAAAUAAAGAAUUCUGUAACUAUGGAAGGAUAUUUUGAAUCCUAUAGCUAUGGAAAGUCAAUAAUUACUCGUUUUAUUUAUUUACAGAACAUCCUGUACAAGCAAUGUAAUGUGCUCACAAUCAUGAAGGGUAACUCAACUAAUCAGAUUUUGGGUUUGCUCCCGCUCUUCAAUGGUCAGAAGUUUGAGUCCCUUUAGGGCUAUUGGAGGCUUACAUGGUCGUUAACUUCAGGACUCGUAGGAUUAGUCGAGGUACGUGCAAGCUGGCUCGAACACCUACAUUAAUAAAAAUAAAAUAAAAUAAAAAUGUAAUGCGCUCAUGGUUGUAUCUUUUUAUCAGAGAAAAACAGAACAAAAGUCUUUCCUCAUCAACUGUCAUUCUAAUUUUUCUCUCUUACAUAAUGCUCACUUUGGAGCUACCUUAGGUGGAAACUCUCUGCUUUCACUCCAAUCUUUUGUACAAAAGAGAUUUCUUUGAGAGAAAGAGAUUUUUUUUUUGAGAGAGACUAAUCUUUUGUCUUAGAAAUAAGGAGAGCCAGUCAAUACCAAGUGGUUAUUCAAGUGAAAAGAAUCAAGAAAUGGGUUUCUUUUCAGAGAAGGAAGAAGAGAAUCACUCUCUAUCCAUGGGAAGCAAUACCAAAGCUUCUUUAAUGGGUGGUUCUUGGUGGUGGCAAAAUGUGAAGCCAUUUGUGAAUGGUGGAUCAGCAGCAUUACUAACAGAACUACAGUUUCUCUUGGUGGAAUCUGCUAUCUAUUACCUUCGAAGUUAUGAAAAGGAAUCUGCGGCAAAGGCCUUUAAGCAGCUGCCUCACCUUCAAAAUCUCAAGAAAAGGCAAGUGUACAUUCCCUUGGAGCUACCAUCGGUGCUAUGACAUUCGGAUCAUUCGAGCAAGUGACUAAGAGUCUUUGUUCCACGAGUACCAAUCUAUGCAACCUGCAGGAAAAGAAAAUGAUUAGUAUUGGCUACAUGACCACAAUUCUUAUCAUAAAUGUUUGUAGUGAUUUGGUUGGUUAGAAAGGGUUUUUGAGAAUAUAAGCAAAUAGAUACAAUCAUCAAUUGCUUCUUUUCUCUCAUAUGUUUAUGCAUGGUGUUGAACUGGAACUUUCUGUUAACAGUCAAUGAUGUCUUUGGUUUUACUAGGAUUUUGACCAGAAAGGCCAUUGCUGCCAAUCAUGGUAUACCUCUAGGCAUUCAUCAGGAAGCCUGUAUUUGCCGGAACUGUUGGAGCAUGCGUGGCUGCUCCAAUAGCUACAGCCUUCUAUCAUGCUGGGACUAAGAUAGUACCAGGGGCAAAAAAGCUGACUUGUGGGGAUGUCUUCAGAGCUUAAUUUAUACCGUAUCAGUACAAAUCAAGGGCUUUCAGCAUUAUGGAAACAUGGAUUAUUUUGGAAUUUCACAGCAUUUUAUGCAGGCAUGCUCGCUCCAUAUAAUCGAAGUUACCAUUAUUUUAAGGUUUCCCGUGGUUUUGGUGAAUUCCAAACUCAAAUGAGUGCAGGUGCUGUUUUAGCAUUUGCUGCCUCAGCCUGUUGUGUACCGGUCAAGAAUGUUCGAUCAUAUAUGUAAGCUAUGAGACCCAAUGCUGAUGGAAAGUCCCCGUUCACAAGCUCCCUGGACUGUGCCCUGAAAGUCCUGAAAGCCAGAGGGCUUGUGGGACUCUACAAAGGAUUUCCACUGUUUCUUUGCAGGAGUUUACCUGCUACCACGAUCACAUGCAUGGAUGAUGUUAGAAGAUAUCCGGGACUUCGAGGAAUUUGCUGGAUUGUAGUAGCUCAAGAGUAUCCAAGGAGGAGCUGCUCCCUUGAUCCUACUCAUAAUUGUAGUAUUUGCAAGCAAGGUUUUAACUUGUUAAGAAAACUGUGUUGCCAGUAAAAUUGUUCUAGUAGCUGAAAGCACUAUAACUGUGAUACCUUGGGCCAACAUAAGAUGGUUAACAAU